AUUGAACGCUGGCGGCAGGCCUAACACAUGCAAGUCGAGCGGAUGAAGGGAGCUUGCUCCUGAUUCAGCGGCGGACGGGUGAGUAAUGCCUAGGAAUCUUCCUGGUAGGGGGGGGUAACGUCCGGAAACGGGCGCUAAUACCGCCAACGUCCUGAGGGAGAAAGUGGGGGAUCUUCGGACCUUACGCUAUCAGAUGAGCCUAGGUCGGAUUAGCUAGUUGGUGGGGUAAAGGCCUACCAAGGCGACGAUCCGUAACUGGUCUGAGAGGAUGAUCAGUCACACUGGAACUGAGACACGGUCCAGACUCCUACGGGAGGCAGCAGUGGGGAAUAUUGGACAAUGGGCGAAAGCCUGAUCCAGCCAUGCCGCGUGUGUGAAGAAGGUCUUCGGAUUGUAAAGCACUUUAAGUUGGGAGGAAGGGCAGUAAGUUAAUACCUUGCUGUUUUGACGUUACCAACAGAAUAAGCACCGGCUAACUUCGUG
rnacentral:rRNA from 1 species